GCCUACUCUGUUGGUCAUUUUCGCAUUGGAAUGAUAUAGAGAAGAUUAGCAUGGCCCCUGCAUAAGGCUGACAUGCAAAUAUGUGAAGCGUUCCAUUUUUUU
ensembl:snRNA U6 U6 spliceosomal RNA